CACGUAGGGCGCAAGCGUUGUCCGGAAUUAUUGGGCGUAAAGAGCUCGUAGGCGGUCUGUUACGUCUGCUGUGAAAACCCGGGGCUUAACCCUGGGCUUGCAGUGGAUACGGGCAGACUAGAGGCAGGUAGGGGAGAAUGGAAUUCCCGGUGUAGCGGUGAAAUGCGCAGAUAUCGGGAGGAACACCGGUGGCGAAGGCGAGUCCCUGGACAACACCUGACACUGAGGCACGAAAGCCGGGGGAGCAAACAGG
rnacentral:rRNA from 1 species